rnacentral:lncRNA from 1 species
GUAGAACGUCUUCCUGGCCUCUGUAUCUCUGGGCAGAGAGGAACUCUGCAACUUCCUGGCAAAAUAGUUGCCUUUUCCUUUCCCACAGCACUUCCAGCCUGGCCUCUACCCUGCAUUUGGAGGCUAUCAGGACUAAUCUCAGGGUCUCACUCUGUUGCCCAGGAUAGAGUGCAGUGGCAUGGUCACAGAUCACCGCAGCUUCAACCUCCCAGGCUCAAGCAAUCUUUCCACAUCAGCCUCCUGAGUAGCUGGAAAUACAGGCAUGCACAAUUAUGCCUGGCUAUUUUUUAUAUUAUUUUUUUUGUAGAGACAGAGUCUUGCUGUGUUGCCCAGGCUGUUCUCAGUCUCCAAUUCUUGAGCUCAAGUGACCCUUCAGCCUCUGCCCCUCGAAGUGAUGGAAUUACAGGUGCGAGCCACUGUGCUUUACCUAAAACAACUAUGUUUAAUAUUUGUUUUUAAAAUUUGCAAACUCUGGGGUUCUUUUGUUUUAGAUUUAUAUAUAUUCUUUUUCAACUUGUAUUUUAGGUUUGGGGGUGUAUGUGCAAUUUUUUUAGGGUAAGUUGCAUGGUGCUGGGAUUUGGUGUACAAAUGAUUUCGAUACUCAGAGAGCUUAGUACUAGAUAGGUAGUUUUCAACCCUCACCCUCAUCCCAACCUCCACCCUAAAGUAGGUCCUGGUAUCUAUUGUUCCUUUCUUUGUAUCCAUGUGUACUCGAUCUUUAGCUCCCACUUAGAAGUGAUAACAUACAGUAUUUGCUUUGCUGUUCUGGUGUUAAUUUGCUUAGGAUAAUGACCUCCAGCUCUAUCCAUGUUUCUGCAAAAGAAAUGAUCUCAUUCUUUCUUAUGGCUGCAUAGCAUUAAAUGGUGUAUUUGUACCAUAGUUUCUUUAUCCAGUCCACUGUUGAUAGGCAUCUUGUUUGAUUUCAUGCCUUCACUAUUGUGAAUGGUGUUGUGAUAAACAUACACAUGCAUGUGUCUUUUUAGUAGAACAAUUUGUAUUCUUUUGGGUAUAUACCCACCGAUGGGAUUGCUGGGUUAAAUGGUAGUCUGUUUUAAGUGCUUUGAGAAACCUCCAAACCAUUUUCCACAGUGGCUAAACUAACAUACAUUCCCACGGACCUUGUCUAAGCAUUCCAUUUUCUCCAUAAUCUCCCCAACAUCUAUUAUUUUCUGCCUUUUAUAUAAUGGCC